rnacentral:ncRNA from 2 species
UAAGAGGGAACCCGGUGGGAAUCCGGGACUGCCCCGCAGCGGUGAGCGAGAACGACCGCCGUCAUACGCACUGGGCCCGGACGGGCCUGGGAAGCGACGGCCAGUAGGUGUCCGUCCCCGACCGACAGGUCGGGGCAGGCGUGCCCGCGAGUCCGAAGACCU